rnacentral:rRNA from 1 species
UCUACUCCAGAGUACCACGAGACACGUGAAACCUUGUGGGAAGCAGGGAGGACCACCUCCCAAGGCUAAAUACUAACUGGUGACCGAUAGUGAAGCAGUACCGUGAGGGAAAGGUGAAAAGAACCCCGGAAGGGGAGUGAAAUAGAACCUGAAACCGUGUGUCCACAACCGGUCGAAGCACUUUUAUGUGCGACGACGUGCUUUUUGUAGAACGAGCCAGCGAGUUACGGUAUGUAGCAAGGUUAAGUACUUAAGGUACGGAGCCGAAGGGAAACCGAGUCUGAAUAGGGCGAAAAGUUGCAUGUCGUAGACCCGAAACCGGGUGACCUAUCCAUGGCCAGGAUGAAGCGGAAGUAAAAUUCCGUGGAGGUCCGAACCACGUUGGUGUUGAAAAACCAUGGGAUGAGCUGUGGAUAGCGGAGAAAUUCCAAUCGAACUCGGAGAUAGCUGGUUCUCCUCGAAAUAGCUUUAGGGCUAGCGUUGAGAUUGAGUAGUGGAGGUAGAGCACUGAAUGGGCUAGGGGCUGACAACAGUUACUGAACCCUAUCAAACUCCGAAUGCCAUAUACUUGUAUCUCAGCAGUCAGACUGCGAAUGAUAAGAUCCGUAGUCAAAAGGGAAACAGCCCAGAUCAUCAGCUAAGGUCCCAAAGUGUAAGUUAAGUGGAAAAGGAUGUGGGAUUUCUAAGACAACUAGGAUGUUGGCUUAGAAGCAGCCACUCAUUUAAAGAGUGCGUAAUAGCUCACUAGUCAAGAGAUCCUGCGCCGAAGAUGUCCGGGGCUAAAACUUACCACCGAAGCUAUGGGCUCGAAAGAGCGGUAGAGGAGCUUCCUGUAUGGAGUGAAGUCGUACCGAAAGGAGCGGUGGACUGUACAGGAGUGAGUAUGCUGGCAUAAGUAGCGAGAAAUAAGUGAGAAUCUUAUUGGUCGAAAAUCUAAGGUUUCCUGAGGAAGGCUCGUCCGCUCAGGGUUAGUCGGGACCUAAGCCGAGGCCGAAAGGCGUAGGUGAUGGACAAUCGGUUGAUAUUCCGAUACCACCAACUGACGUUAUUACAAAUGGGAUGACGCAGGAGGAUAGGAUGUGCACACUAUUGGAUGUGUGUCUAAGCACUUAGACAGAUCAGACAGGCAAAUCCGUCUGGUUAAUGUUGAGGUGUGAUGGGGAGUGGCUUUAUGCCGCGAAGUAUCUGAUUCCACGCUGCCAAGAAAAGUCUCUAUGGAGGAUGUUGGUGCCCGUACCGCAAACCGACACAGGUAGAUGAGGAGAGAAUCCUAAGACCAUCGGAAGAAUUGUUGUCAAGGAACUCGGCAAAUUGACCCCGUAACUUCGGGAGAAGGGGUGCCUAUGAAAGUAGGUCGCAGAGAAUAGGCCCAAGCAACUGUUUAGCAAAAACACAGGUCUCUGCUAAAGCGAAAGCUGAAGUAUAGGGGCUGACGCCUGCCCGGUGCUGGAAGGUUAAGGGGAAUACUUAGCGCAAGCGAAGGUAUGAACUUAAGCCCCAGUAAACGGCGGCCGUAACUAUAACGGUCCUAAGGUAGCGAAAUUCCUUGUCGGGUAAGUUCCGACCCGCACGAAUGGCGUAAUGACUUGGGCACUGUCUCGACAACAAAUCCGGCGAAAUUGUAGUGCAAGUGAAGAUGCUUGCUACCCGCGAUUGGACGGAAAGACCCCGUAGAGCUUUACUGCAGCUUAGCAUUGAGUUUCGAUAUUGUCUGUACAGGAUAGGUGGGAGACUGCGAAACAGGGGCGUCAGCUUCUGUGGAGUCAUCCUUGGGAUACCACCCUGACAGUAUUGGGAUUCUAACCGGCGGCCAUGAAACUGGUCACGGGACAUUGUUAGGUGGGCAGUUUGACUGGGGCGGUCGCCUCCAAAAAAGUAACGGAGGCGCCCAAAGGUUCCCUCAGAACGGUUGGAAAUCGUUCGAAGAGUGCAAAGGCAGAAGGGAGCCUGACUGCGACACAUACAGGUGGAGCAGGGACGAAAGUCGGGCUUAGUGAUCCGGUGGUUCCUCGUGGGAGGGCCAUCGCUCAACGGAUAAAAGCUACCUCGGGGAUAACAGGCUGAUCUCCCCCAAGAGUCCACAUCGACGGGGAGGUUUGGCACCUCGAUGUCGGCUCGUCGCAUCCUGGGGCUGAAGUAGGUCCCAAGGGUUGGGCUGUUCGCCCAUUAAAGCGGCACGCGAGCUGGGUUCAGAACGUCGUGAGACAGUUCGGUCCCUAUCCGUCGCGGGCGUAGGAAAUUUGAGAGGAGCUGUCCUUAGUACGAGAGGACCGGGAUGGACUGACCUCUGGUGUACCAGUUGUUCCGCCAGGAGCAUGGCUGGGUAGCUAUGUCGGGACGGGAUAAACGCUGAAAGCAUCUAAGCGUGAAACCCACCUCAAGAUUAGAUUUCCCAUAGCGUAAGCUAGUAAGACCCCUUGAAGAACACAAGGUUGAUAGGUCAGAGGUGUAAGCAUGGUAACAUGUUCAGCUGACUGAUACUAAUAGGUCGAGGGCUUGACCAAA